AAAGUCGUAACAAGGUCUCCGUUGGUGAACCAGCGGAGGGAUCAUUACAAGAAGCCGAAAGGCUACUUAAAACCAUCGCGAACUCGUCCAAGUUGCUUCGGCGGCGCGGGACCCCUCGGGGGACCGCAGCGCCGCGCCCCCCUCCCCAGGGGGACGCGGGGCGCCCGCCGGAGGUCACAAACUCUCAUGUAUUAUAGUGGAUCUCUGAGUACAAAACAAAUAAGUUAAAACUUUCAACAACGGAUCUCUUGGUUCUG
rnacentral:misc_RNA from 1 species